rnacentral:rRNA from 1 species
UACGGGGGGAGCAAGCGUUGUUCGGAUUUACUGGGCGUAAAGGGCGCGUAGGCGGCACUGCAAGUCAGUUGUGAAAUCUCCAGGCUCAACUUGGAAACUGCCAUUGAUACUAUUAAUCUUGAAUACCGUGGAGGUCAGCGGAAUAUGUCAUGUAGCGGUGAAAUGCUUAGAUAUGACAUAGAACACCAAUUGCGAAGGCAGCUGGCUACACGAAUAUUGACACUGAUGCACGAAAGCGUGGGGAUCAAACAGG